UAUUUAUUAUAUUAAUUUUUUUUUUUAUUUAUUUUAAUUUUAUUUUGAGGUUUAUUAAUAUUUAAUUUUUUAGUAUUUUUUUGAACUAAAAAUUUUAUUUAUAGUUUAUUUUUACCGUGAGGGAUUUAUAUUUUAUUUUUAUAAUUAGAUUUUUUUUCGUACCUUUUGUAUCAGGGUAUAUUAAUUUUUUUUUAUUUAUUUAUUAUUCCCGAAUUUAAUUGAUCUAUUUUAUUAUGUUAGUUGAAAUUUUAUAUUCAUUAUUUAUAUUAAAGUAGUUGUGGAUAUGUUAUUCGUAAUUUAAGAUAUCUAGUUUUUUAAUAGACAAAUUUAAUUUGAUUAUAUUAAUUUAAUUUUAUUUUUUUUAAUUUAAUUAUUUUUUUAUGGUAAUAAUAAAGGGGAUUAGUUCUUUAUUAUUUUUAUAAUUUAUUUUUUUUUAUGAGGUAUAGGUUUUGAAUUAUCCAUUAUUUUGAGUAUUUUAUAAUUUAUUAUAUUUAUUAUUUUAUUUAUUUUUAUUUAAUUAUCUAUUGAAAUUUAUUUUGAAAUUUUUUUUAAUUUUUAAUAAUGAUUUAAUUAGUAUAUUUUUUUUAAUUAGUUUUAUAUUUUUCAUUUAUUAAAAAGGAACUAGGCAAUAUAUAUUUGUUCGCCUGUUUAUCAAAAACAUCUUCUCUUGAAAUUAAUUUGAGAUUUUACCUGCCCAAUGAUAUUUUAAAUGGCCGCGGUAUUUUGACCGUGCAAAGGUAGCAUAAUCAUUAGUUUUUUAAUUGAUAACUGGUAUGAAUGGUUUGACGAAACAUUAACUGUCUCUUUAUUAUAUUAAAAAUUAAAUUUUGAGUUAAAAUGCUUAAUUUUAUUUAUUGGACGAGAAGACCCUAUAGAUCUUUAUAUUAUUACUUAUUAGAUAAUUUAGUUUAUACUUUUUUAUUAAGUUAAUUAUUUCGUUGGGGUGACUUGAAGAUAUAAAAAACUCUUUAUUUUUGUAUACAUUUAUUUUUGGUAAUUUGACCUUAUUUUAUUGUUAUAAGAUUAAGAUACCUUAGGGAUAACAGCGUAAUUUUUCUUGAGAGUUCAUAUUGACGGAUUAGAUUGCGACCUCGAUGUUGGAUUAAGAUUAGACUUAGGUGUAGAAGUUUAAGUUGCUAGGUCUGUUCGACCUUUAAAUUCUUACAUGAUCUGAGUUCAAACCGGCGUGAGCCAGGUUGGUUUCUAUCCAUAAAGAUUUUUUUUAUAUUAGUACGAGAGGACCAUAUAAUUCAAAUAUUUUGUUUUAAUUUAUUAUUAU
rnacentral:rRNA from 1 species